rnacentral:rRNA from 1 species
UACGUAGGGGGGCGAGCGUUGUCCGGAAUUAUUGGGCGUAAAGAGCUCGUAGGCGGUUUGUCGCGUCUGCUGUGAAAACCCGAGGCUCAACCUCGGGCCUGCAGUGGGUACGGGCAAACUAGAGUGCGGUAGGGGAGAAUGGAAUUCCUGGUGUAGCGGUGGAAUGCGCAGAUAUCAGGAGGAACACCGAUGGCGAAGGCAGUUCUCUGGGCCGUAACUGACGCUGAGGAGCGAAAGCGUGGGGAGCGAACAGG